UACGUAGGGGGCGAGCGUUGUCCGGAAUCAUUGGGCGUAAAGCGCGUGUAGGCGGCCCGGAAAGUCUGGUGUGAAAUCUUAGGGCUCAACCCUAAGCUGUCACUGGAUACUGUCGGGCUCGAGUCCGGAAGAGGCGAGUGGAAUUCCUGGUGUAGCGGUGGAAUGCGUAGAGAUGUGGAGGAACACCAAUGGCGAAGGCAGCCCCCUGGGAUGACACUGACGCUCAUGCACGAAAGCGUGGGGAGCAAACAGG
rnacentral:rRNA from 1 species